rnacentral:rRNA from 1 species
UGAAACCCUGCACUUACAAGCUGUGGAAGCACAUUUCUUGUGUGACCGCGUACUUUUUGUAGAACGGGCCAACGAGUUACGUUAAGUAGCAAGGUUAAGCACUUAAGGUGCGGAGCCGUAGCGAAAGCGAGUUUUAACUGAGCGUUCAGUUACUUGACGUAGACCCGAAACCGGGCGACCUACCCAUGAGCAGGAUGAAGCGAAAGUAAAAUUUCGUGGAGGUCCGAACCCACGAGCGUUGAAAAGCUCGGGGAUGACUUGUGGGUAGCGGUGAAAUUCCAAUCGAGCCCGGAGAUAGCUGGUUCUCCCCGAAAUAGCUUUAGGGCUAGCCUCAAGGUGAGAGAUACGGAGGUAGAGCACUGAAUGUCCUAGGGGGUAUUGCACCUACCGAAGACUAUCAAACUCCGAAUGCCGUCAUCUUAUACUUGGGAGUCAGACUGUGGGUGAUAAGAUUCAUAGUCGAAAGGGCAACAGCCCAGAUCGUCAGCUAAGGUCCCUAAAUGUAAGUUAAGUGGUAAAGGAUGUGGGAUUGCACAGACAACCAGGAUGUUGGCUUAGAAGCAGCCACUCAUUCAAAGAGUGCGUAAUAGCUCACUGGUCGAGUGAUCCUGCGCCGAAGAUUUCCGGGGCUAAAACUUACUACCGAAGCUACGGCAUCAGUAAUGAUGGGUAGGGGAGCUUCCCAUACGGGUUGAAGCAUGACCGUAAGGACAUGUGGACAGUAUGGGAGUGAGAAUGUUGGCAUGAGUAGCGAGAUGUGGGUGAGAAUCCCACAGGCCGUAAACCCAAGGUUUCCAGGGGAAGGUUCGUCCGCCCUGGGUUAGUCGGGACCUAAGCUGAGGCCGAAAGGCGUAGGUGAUGGACAACAGGUUGAUAUUCCUGUACUACCGAUAACCGUUUGAGAGAAGGGAUGACACAGUAGGAUAAGCUAAGCACACUGUUGGUUAUGUGUGCCCAAGCAUUGAGGCAGUCAAAGUAGGCAAAUCCGCUUUGAUAAUGCUGGGAUGUGAUGGGGAGCGAAAUUUAGUAGCGAAGUAGCUGAUUUCACACUGUCAAGAAAAGUCUCUAUCGAGGUUAAAGGUACCCGUACCGCAAACCGACACAGGUGGGUGAGGAGAGUAUCCUAAGGCCAGCGAGAGAACUGUUGUUAAGGAACUCGGCAAAAUGACCCCGUAACUUAGGGAUAAGGGGUGCCACCAUCAGGUGGCCGCAGAGAAUAGGCCCAAGCGACUGUUUACCAAAAACAUAGGUUUCUGCUAAGUCGCAAGACGAUGUAUAGGAGCUGACGCCUGCCCGGUGCUGGAAGGUUAAGGGGAUCUGUUAGAGCAAUCGAAGCAGUGAACUUAAGCCCCAGUAAACGGCGGCCGUAACUAUAACGGUCCUAAGGUAGCGAAAUUCCUUGUCGGGUAAGUUCCGACCCGCACGAAAGGCGUAACGAUUUGGGCACUGUCUCAACAACAGACUCGGUGAAAUUGUAAUUCCGGUGAAGAUGCCGGAUACCUGCGACAGGACGGAAAGACCCCAUGGAGCUUUACUGUAGCUUGACAUUGGGUCUUGGUACUACAUGUACAGGAUAGGUGGGAGGCUUUGAAACCAGGACGCCAGUUUUGGCGGAGCCAUCCUUGGGAUACCACCCUUGUAGUACUGGGACUCUAACCAUAGGCCAUGAAUCUGGUCUUGGGACACUGUCAGGUGGGCAGUUUGACUGGGGCGGUCGCCUCCCAAAAGGUAACGGAGGCGCUCAAAGGUUCUCUCAGUACGGUCGGAAAUCGUACGUAGAGUGUAAAGGCAAAAGAGAGCUUGAUUGCAAGACAUACAGGUCGAGCAAGGAUGAAAAUCGGACUUAGUGAUCCGGUGGUUCUGCGUGGAAGGGCCAUCGCUCAACGGAUAAAAGCUACCCUGGGGAUAACAGGCUUAUCUCCCCCAAGAGUCCACAUCGACGGGGAGGUUUGGCACCUCGAUGUCGGCUCAUCACAUCCUGGGGCUGUAGUAGGUCCCAAGGGUUGGGCUGUUCGCCCAUUAAAGUGGUACGCGAGCUGGGUUCAGAACGUCGUGAGACAGUUCGGUCCCUAUCCGUCGCAGGCGUAGGAAAUUUGAGAAGACCUGUCCUUAGUACGAGAGGACCGGGAUGGACGUACCUCUGGUGUACCAGUUGU